UACGUAGGGUGCAAGCGUUAAUCGGAAUUACUGGGCGUAAAGCGUGCGCAGGCGGUUAUGUAAGACAGUUGUGAAAUCCCCGGGCUCAACCUGGGAACUGCAUCUGUGACUGCAUAGCUAGAGUACGGUAGAGGGGGGAUGGAAUUCCGCGUGUAGCAGUGAAAUGCGUAGAUAUGCGGAGGAACACCGAUGGCGAAGGCAAUCCCCUGGACCUGUACUGACGCUCAUGCACGAAAGCGUGGGGGAGCAAACAGG
rnacentral:rRNA from 1 species